rnacentral:rRNA from 1 species
CCUACGGGUGGCAGCAGUGAGGAAUAUUGGUCAAUGGACGAGAGUCUGAACCAGCCAAGUAGCGUGAAGGAUGACUGCCCUAUGGGUUUUAAACUUCUUUUAUAUGGGAAUAAAAUGUUCCACGUGUGGGAUUUUGUAUGUCCCAUUUGAAUAAGGAUCGGCUAACUCCGUGCCAGCGGCCGGGGUAAUCCGGAGGUUCCGAGCGUUAUCCGGGUUUAUGGGGUUGAAGGGGAGCGCAGGUGGAUUGUUAAGUCAUGUGUGAAAGGUUGCGGUUCAACCGUAAAAUUGCAGUUGAAACUGGCAAUCUUGAGUGCAGUAGAGGUAGGCGGAAUUCGUGGUGUAGCGGUGAAAUGCUUAGAUAUCACGAAGAACUCCGAUUGCGAAGGCAGUUCACUGGACUGCAACUGACGCUGAGGCUCGAAAGUGUGGGUAUCAAACAGGAUUAGAUACCCUUGUAGUC